rnacentral:rRNA from 1 species
AACGAACGCUGGCGGCAUGCCUAACACAUGCAAGUCGAACGAGACCUUCGGGUCUAGUGGCGCACGGGUGCGUAACGCGUGGGAACCUGCCCUUAGGUUCGGAAUCACUCCCCGAAAGGGGUGCUAAUACCGGAUAAUGUCUUCGGACCAAAGAUUUAUCGCCUUUGGAUGGGCCCGCGUUGGUUUAGCUAGUUGGUAGGGUAAAAGCCUACCAAGGCGACGAUCCAUAGCUGGUCUGAGAGGAUGAUCAGCCACACUGGGACUGAGACACGGCCCAGACUCCUACGGGAGGCAGCAGUGGGGAAUAUUGGGCAAUGGGCGAAAGCCUGAUCCAGCAAUGCCGCGUGAGUGAUGAAGGCCUUAGGGUUGUAAAGCUCUUUUACCCGGGAUGAUAAUGACAGUACCGGGAGAAUAAGCUCCGGCUAACUCCGUG